rnacentral:rRNA from 1 species
UGUCCGAAUGGGGAAACCCAGCUGGGGUAAUAUCCAGUUACUCAUAACUGAAUACAUAGGUUAUGUAGAGGCAUACCAGGGGAACUGAAACAUCUAAGUACCCUGAGGAAGAGAAAACAAUAGUGAUUCCGUCAGUAGCGGCGAGCGAACGCGGAGAAGCCCAAACCAAAGAGCUUGCUCUUUGGGGUUGUGGGACGUCUCACAUGGAGUUACAAAGGAACCGGUUAAGCGAAGAGGUCUGGAAAGGCCCGCCAAAGAAGGUAAAAGCCCUGUAAUUGAAAGUCUGUUCCCUCCGAGACGGAUCCCGAGUAGUGCGGGGCACGUGAA